UAACAGAAAUAAUAAUAAAACUUCUAAUUAAACCAACAGCUAUCAUAAGAAUGACUCCAUAAUACAACUGAAAAUAACACCCAAAAUCUGGUGAGACCAAGUCAUAAACUCUACACGAGUAUACAGAACCAUUCUUAAUACAUCAAUAUCUAUAAUAGGAGUAUGCAAUAGAAACUAAGAUAGAGGGUGACUCCGAGGCCUGCGAACGCCGGUAUGUAUACCUUGAAGUCUCCAAUUCAAGCUCAACUCACAGAUGCCUAGGCUGGUAUGAAGAACCCGGAUCUGCAUAAAAUGAUGUGCCGAAGCGUAGUAAAAGUAAACUACAUGGUACCUAGUAAGUAUCAAGCUUAACCUCGGUAGAGUAGCGAUGAGGUCGAGUCAAUACACCUAUUGGAAAAAAUAAAGAAACGGAACAGGUAUAGUACAGUAUAAUAAUGGAAAAAAUGAAAAUGAUACAAUGAAGGAAUACAACAAGAAUAGCUACACUGAAAUUAAGGCAAUAAAGACAUCACGUGAGAAACACAUAAUAAGAAUGCCAAGGAAACGAUGCACAUAAAACACAAGUGAUGUAAAUGAAAUGUGGCAACAAGAAUCAUUACCGAGGUACCGCCUCAUAGUCUUAUUUCACAUUCAAAAUAUUUUUCUUAUAUCACCGUGCUAGCCUUAUAUUUAGUUUUGAAAAUCAUUUUUUGAAAUAGUUACCCGAAUUUUAUUCCACCUUAUCACACUGCGUGGCUUCAAGCAGUUCCCCUACUAGCAACACACGUAUCAAGCCCACCUUAUCUCACCACAUGCGUAUCAACCCCUAUCCUUAUACCACCGCAUGCAUAUCAAUAUCACAACAUAUCACAAAUCACACCUCAAGUGCCUAAUACUACAACUUGCCAAAGAAGUCAACAAUAACAAUGUUUCUAUGAUAAAUAGCCCAUGGCUCAACCACAAUGUAUACAAGAGUCUCAACGAUAGCAACCAAAAGUGAACAACUCAACAAGAAUGAUAUUUCAACAAUUUACAACUCAGCCUCAAUAUGAUCACGACUUUUACAGCUUCAACACCAAGAAAUAACACCUUCGAGUAAGGUAACUCAACAAUUAAAUAUUUAACAAGGCAAUAAGGGAACAAUAACUUGAACUAAGCGUGCAAGGCUAAAUAACAAGUAAGAGAUGAGAAAAGUAUUAACAAUGUCAAGUGAAACAUGUAAGGAUAGAUUAAUGAUGAUGAAUAUAACAUGUUAUGACAACUCAAUUAAAGGCAUGAAAAUAAUCUACAUAGCUUAACCGGUCAAUUACUACAUUUAGCCCGUGUACCCACUCGUCACCUUGCGUACACGACUUUUACGUACCACAAUUAACACAAAACAACACCCGUCCUAAAGGGUAAUUCCCCCAUACAAAGUUAGGCAAGAUACUUACCUCAAAACACGCUAACUCAAUCCAUUAGUGAGCCUUUUCCGCGAAUAUCCAACUCUGAAUGGCUCGAAUCUAGCCAAAAUAACCUUAUACCAUAAAUACAAACCAUAGGAAACUAUUCCAGAUAAUAAAGUUGCAAUCUUUAAAGAAAAUCAAAAAGUCAACUAAACAAGUCAACCACAGGCUCGCAUCUCGGAACCCGGCCAAUCUUAUAAAAUCGGAACACCCAUUCAAUAACGAGUUCAACCAUACUAAAAUUACUCAAUCCGACCUCAAAUCGACCUUAAAAUCCUCAAAACAUAGUUUAUCAAGUUUUUCACGAAGUUCCCUAAUUAUUUCCAACUCAAAACACUAAUUAAAUGAUAAAAACAAUGAUGGAUUCAUGUAUAAUAUCCAAAACCGAAUUAGAAUCACUUAUCCCGAUCAAUUCCUUCAAAAUCCCUCUCGAAAUCGCCCACUUCUAUGUCAAAAGAUGACGAAUGAAAUCAAACCCUCGUUUUUAUCCUUUUCUGCGCAGCGAUCUCGCUUUUGCGGAUCCUCAGCCGUAUCUGCGGCUCCACACCUACGGAAAUCCUAUCGCAGGUGCGCCUUCCACUUAAGCCCAGGGAAAAUUGCAACUGCGGGCACCAAAGCGCAACAGCGACUGCACCAGAACCUCAGUAGCUUCAGCAAUCAACUAAGUACAAAAAUGAUCAGAUUUCAAUCUGAUUCACUCUCGGGGCCCCCGGGACCCGUCUGAAUAUACCAACAAGUUCCAAAACACAUAGAAAACCUACUCGAGGCCUAUAAUCACUUCAAACAACAUCCAUUCUACGUAUUGUGACCCAAUUCAAACCUAUGGAAACCAUGAGCAUCAAACUUCCAAAACUAACAACGAUUCUUACCAAACCAACUCCGAUUGACCCUAAAUUUUGCACACAAGUCAUAAAUAACACAACAGACCUAUUACAACUUUCGAAAUCGGAAUCCGACCCUGACAUAAUUAAAGUCAUGUCCUAGUCAAACUUCUCAACCUUCCAAACAUUCAACUUUCUAACUUUCGCCAAUUCAAGCCAAAACAGCCUACAAAGCUCCAAAUCAAUAUCCAGACAUGCUCCUAUGUCCAAAAUCACUAUUCGGAGCUAUCAGAACCGUCAAAACUCUAUUCUGGAGUCAUCUAUACAAAAGUGAAACUCCUUUUAACUCUUUUAACUUAAGCUUCCAACUUUAGAACUAAGUAUCCCAUUUCACUCCGAAACUCACCCGAAACCAAAACCAACCACCCUAACAAGUCACAUAACCAAAAUAUAACAUAGAUGAGGCAAUAAAUAGGGGAACGAGGCUAAAAUACUCAAAAUGACCGGCUGGGUCAUUACAUCAGGUAUGAAACACGACAAAUAACAACGAAACAGAUAAACUUUAAUAAUUAAUUUCAUAACAUGGAUCAUUACAAAAUCAUUAAAAUUCCAUAACCAACCUCGAAGGAAGAAAAUUGAUUGAUAUCAAUACCAAAUCAAAUCUUAAGUGUUACACAUGAGUCUGCCGAGGUAAACGACCUGAUCCCAUAAGAAUAGUAUUACACAAUACCGCCGAAGUGAACGACCUGAUCCCAUAAGAAUAGUAUUACAUAUUCAUGUCGAGGCUAAUGACCCGAUCCUAUAAGAAUAAUUCAUAAUACUACCAAGGCGAACGACCGAUCCCAUAAGCAUAAAUUGCAACACCGCUGAUGCGAACGACCCGAUCCCAUGAGAAUAGAGAAACUCUCUCACCCGCAAAAAUACAUGUGAGUCGAGAAGGCACGGAACUUCCAAUCGAUAGUAUUUCACAAUUUCUAAAGUAAGAGUCUUGAUCAUUAUUUCUAUUCUAGUCCCAAUCUCAGUCAUGAAUUAAAGAAAUCAAACGAGCAAGAUUAAUACAAAUAGCACAUUUAAAGCAUGAUGUGAAUCUAAGUCUACCCGAACAUAAGCAUGAAUCUAGCUACGUACAGACUCUCGUUACCUCUACGUACAUAGCUCCCACAACAAGUAGCACACAAUAAUUGAUAAACCUAUGGGGGAUAAUUCCCUCUUACGAGAUUAGGCAAGAAACUUACUUUGCUUCCAACCUCAUAACUCGGCUCUUAAACCUCACAGGAAUUCCCCAAAUAAUGCCAAGCAAUAUUAAACUAUUCAAAAGUCGUACAAACAGUUAAAUAUAUGCUCAAAAGUUCAUAAUUUAUCUAAAAAGUAAUGUCCCAACCAAAUUCAGAAAGUCCAUAAAAGUCACCCCCAGGUCCAUGUGGCCGGAUUCUAAAAUUAUUUGAAGAUAAACGUUACCCAUGACAUUACGAACUCAAAUAUAUAUUUUAUUUCCAAUUCCAUAACCAAUUUCUUGGUAAAAUCCUAUUUUUAUCAAACCCUAGGUUUCCAAUAAAAUCCCACAAAUUUUACUAAUUUUCAUGUUAAUGUCUACCCAUAAUCCAUGUAUUAAACUCAAAGUUGGUAAAAAUCACUUACCUUGUGAUGUUGAUGAACAUCCCCCAAAAAGUGCUCUUAAUUUCGUCCAAGACCAAGUGAAAAUAUGAGAGGAAUAGGCUAAGUCCAAAAUAAAAGUGUUUUUCCCAGGCCCAUUGUUCUUCACGAUCACGAAAGAAGCCUCGCGAUCUCGAAGGCUUCCAGCUGCCCAAACGCCCUUCACGUUCGCGACCUCUAGGUCGCAUUCGUGAUGACCUAUGAUCCAUGGCCUUCACUUUUGCGGCCCAACAGCCGCGUUCACGAAGACCAACAGCCUUUUAGCCCAAGUCCUCUCUUGUCUUCUUCGCAUUCGCGAUUGUGCCUUCAUAUUCGCGAAGGAGAGCCAUGUCCUCCCCGGCAUUCUCAGAGCCUUCUUCGCGUUCGCGAAGUGAAACCAGCUGCCCCUCUAAAAUGCCUUCUUCACUAUCAUGGGAUGCCCUUUGAGAUCGCGAAGCACACCAAAAUACCAGCAUACCAGCAAUUUACAGCCAACUUAACUUUGCUCCGGGUAGUCCAAAAUACACCCGAGCCACCCGGGAUCUCGUCUAAUUAUACCAACAAGUUCAUAAACAUACUACGGACCUACUCAAAACCUCAAAACAUAUAAAAUAACACCGGAAGCAAGAUAGAUAGGUCCAACUAGUAUUUAUGGACUUGUUGGUAUGAUUGAACGGGAUCUUAGUGGGGCUCGAAUGUGUUUUGGACCACCCAUAGCAUAUUUGAGAUUGUUGGGUUUUGCUAGUAUCUGGUAUGCUUUGCGAUUAUGGAGCUCGUCUCUCGAUCAUGAUGAAGGAUGGCUAGGGCUGUUAUGCUUUGCGUUCGCAGUUGUAGGGACUCGUUCACAAAGACUGGAGGUCACUGGGCAUCACGUUUGUGGAUGUCCAAUCGCGUUCGCGAUAGCAAAAGAGGAUUUUCUAACAAAGGCAGAUUGUGCUUCACGAAUGCAAGGCUGUGGCCGCGCUUGCGAAGGAUAGUGCUGGCAGGCGCAUUUUAAGUCUAAAGUUUUGGGAUUUUGCCCUUUUUCAAUUUUUGGAAUUAUCGAGCAGAGAGGAUGAGAUUUUAAGUGGAAUUACACUAAAGUGUUGGAUCUAAGUAAAUUUUUCUUGGAUUUGAUCAUGUAUCUUGAUUCCCUGUGAAUUUAUACACCUAAAAUAUGGAAUUCUGGAGUGAAAUUUGAGAUUUUGUCUACAACUUAAGAGUGUGUAAAUUGAGAUUUUGAGUAUCAAUUUGGAGAUGGAUUUAUAAACUAAACCCAUAUUUGGACUCGUGGGAUUUUGGGUAAACAAGAUCUUCCCCUAGACUUGAGUUUUAACCAUGUUGGCCCAAGUUAACUUUUACUGACUUUUUGAAAAUUAUUAAAAAUUGAAACUUUAUUAUUUGUAAUUGAUUCCUAUGACUUUAUUUGACCUUAUUGAGUAUUAUUUAGUUAGAUUUGAGCCGUUUGGAAGUGGUUUCCAAAGAAAAGGCAGUUUUAGAGGGUUGGUUUGUCUUGUUAAGGGGAGUAUCUUGCCCAAUUUUGAUUUGAGGGAAUAACCCAUAAGAUAUGACCUUAUUUGUUUAAUUUAAAUGUGUGAAGAGCAACUUAUAUGAGACGAGCUUAUAUGCGGGUACUAUGAAUUAUUGAUGUUCGAGGUAGACUUUAGGCUUCUACUAUUCCUUGUUUGGUUGUGUGCAUUCCAUGAUUUAUGUGUUAAUCAAUUGCAUGACUACGUAAGCUUAUUCUUUUAUGUUAGUAACUACAUUUAGGAUUACAACAUUUUAAUUGGCCAUGAUGGACUAUCGGUGAAAUUAUUGAUAUAAAUGAUUUAGCCUUAGUCAUGCUUUAUAUCUUGAGCACACAUCCGCACUUUUAAUUAUUAUAUCCUUGUGUAUUUUAUUGAUUAUUUGUGAGCAUAUGCAGAGUUGGAGAUGAAAUAUUAUUUCGAACUGCUAUGAUUAUUACAUAUUUGGAUGUAUUGAGUGGAUUGAUUUGGAUAUGAUACAAGGUUUAUAGUGUAUAUUGUUAUAGAAUGAGGUCUUUGCCGUGUAGCGUGUGGAUCUAGAUCCAUCCCUCUAUGGUUGCCCUCUCAUGUUUCUCUCUUGAUGGCAUAUUCUCAUUUGAUGGCGUACAUGCAUGUUGUGAGACAAUAAUAGAGUUAUAGUUGUUCUGAUAUGGGAUCUGAUAAGGUGGAUUUUGAGCAUAAGAGUGAAAACUUUGACCAUUCAAGUGAAUCAUUUAUGCCAUUUCAUGCAUACUAUAUGCAUUUUAGUUUUUUCAUUGCAAAAAAAAUCGUUCAUGUUUCUUAGCCUUAAAAAAUAAUUUUAAUGGCAAAAAUUUUAUUUUGAGUUUACUUUCCUAAUAAUUAGGAUUUUUAAAUCAACUAAGAUUUUAGUUGUUAAUUCUCUCCAUAUUCAACAAGCUAGAAAGUCAUAAUAUUUAGAAUUUUAAAUCAACUAGAAUUUUAUCUAAUACAAAUCCUUUCCUUAUAACUUUAUGGAUAACUAUAUUUGUGUCACAACCCAAAAUCUAAACUUGCGCCAAACACGUCAAAACAACUCGGAUUCACAUUAAAUUUUGUACACUAGUUUCAAAUAACACAAGGUACUUAUUCCAAGUUCUGGAACAACAAUCUAGACCUGGUAACAUUGAAUUCAACAUAUCGCGAUUCACAGUGCCCAAACAAUAAAUUUGCUCUUUGCUAACGCGACUCAAAGCCUGCGAUCGCAAUGCACACCCCUAUGGCCAAAAACUAGAAACUAAAAAUGGCCUAGAAAUGGUCUGAAACUACCCCGAAACUCAUCCGAGUCAAUGGGAACCCCGUCCGAACAUACCAACUUGUCCAAGUUUAGCCAAUUAGUGCUGAAACCUUCUAAAAAUAUUCAAAUACAAAUCCGGGUAUACGCCCAAGUCCACAAUCACCAUUCGGACCUAACGGAACCAUUAAAACUCCAAUCUGAGGUCAAAUACUAAAAAGUCAAACUUGGUCAACUCUUCGUAGUUGAGAAUUAUUCUUCCAAAUCAAUUCCGAGUCACCUGAAAACCAAAACCGGCGAUUCACAUAAGUCAUAAUAUAUCAUACGAAGAUACCCAAGACUUCAAUAGAUGAACAGAAUGCAAAUGCUCAAAAUGACUGAUCGGGUCGUUACAUAUUUCAUCCAUUUUCCUCCAAUACGAUGUGUGACAUCCUUGUCAAUAUCACCAUUACCUUGAUUAAUAGAUCUGAGUUGCUUGAAACUCCCCUUAUUAGGGAUGACUUGUGAAUCUAGCCUCACUUUGAUGUCUGUAUCAUGACACAUUGCUGAACUUGCAUUCCAAAUACUUAGUUUUAGUCCUGCUCAUCUUAACCCUUUUGACUCCAGAGUUUGUCUUCAAACCUCUACCCUCGCAUUAACACCACCUCGCAUCUCUUCAAUUAGUAAUAACAUGCACCAUGGAACCUCCUCUUGAGUGUGCUGUGUCAGAACAUCCAUCGCCGGGUCAAAUAAAAAUGGGCUAACCACGGAUCCCUGAUGCAAGCCCAUCCCGACAUGGAAGUGCUCCGAGUCUCCUCCCACCGUCCUAACCCGGGUCUUAACGCCAUCAUACAUAUCCUGGAUCACCCUAGUAUAAGCUACAGGCACACCUCUAACCUCUAAAAACUACCAAAUACUCUAGUGCAAAUUAUUUUAGGAGAAAAAUAUUUUUGAUAACUUUUAACUAACUGAAUAAUCAAGAAAAUCUCUUGAAUUCUUAUAAGAUCUCAGAUGAACCCGGUAGUGCGUUUUUAUUGGAAAGGAGAUUAGGAUUUGAGUUCAUCCUCAUAUAGGGUCGAAUUAUUUGGUUAAUGUGUUGAUAUAUAUUAUUUUCCAAUUCCUUGCAACAAAGGAAUAUUAUACACAUUAAAAGCUCGUGCAUUCAGUUAACAAGCAAUUCAAGCAAGUUCUCAUGAAUGAGUUUGAUUCCAUGCUCAUCCAAAAGAAUAUGAAGGCUGGAGUAGUUAGUCCGUUGCAGUCUUAUGUAUAACUUUAGUCCAGCCCUAGUUCAGAUAUAUUAAGGUAUUGAGUUAUAAUUAUACUUUUUAAGUUAGAGUUGACUUGAAAGUAUGAAAAAUUCGCGUGAGCCGUUAAGAAAAUAGUUAGAGUUAAGUUUGAAUAUUGCAGGAGUUGUAAUUUAAAUAAUUUGACUCCUUUUGUUUUAGUGAAAUUGGGGUUAAAUACUACCGGAUAGGUCAAGCUUUUGCACCUUUUGAGCCAGGUGAUUUUUCACCUAAAAAUAUCUAUGUUCUUUAAUUUUCCACACUUGAUUUUAUCACAUUUCACGACAUAAGCUAAAGAACCAGGUUUCUUUAGACAAAUUCUAGGGGCACUCAAUUUAACAAAUUCAAAAUGCAAUUGACUUUUCUUAAUCCACAUAAUCAUUUGUAUUUCGGGAAAUACACUAUUUUGGCAUUCGAAUAAAAUAAAACGCUCAUAUACAGUGUUUCAUAGGGCUGGAUCGUCAGGCAAGAUGUUUUACUUAAGGCACAAGCCCUGAAACAUGAUGCAUAAGGUGCAUUGAUCUUUAAAUUUUUUAACGUUAUAAUUUAAUAAAAUAUCACAAUAACAUAAAAAUUUUAAAAUUACAUUAAAAGUUUACAAAAGUAAAAAAAUUAAAGGAACUCAUAGAAAAUAAAAUAUCUAGCUUUGGGUGGUUAUGGCGAGGUGCAUGGCGGCUUCGGCUUUGGGGAUAGGAACGGAGGAGGAACUUCGCUUUUGGAUUUUGCUAAAGCAUUUGAGCUGGUGAUUGCGAACUCUAGCUUUCCGAAGAGAGAGGAGCAUUUGGUUAUGUUCCAAAGUACGGCGGUGAAGAGGCUCUUGGUGAUGGUUGUGUAAGGAUUGCAAGGUGAUUCCGGGGGAGAUCCUUGCGACGCAGCAUAGGCUCUUGGUGAUGGACGUUGUUAUCAUGAUAAAGAGGAAGAAGAGGUUUGUUCGAGGACGACCGAGGAUCAGGUGGGGAGCCUUGACAAAGGAUAAAGCUCAAGAGUUGGAGGGGAGUUUAUCGACUAUGGGAGCCUGAAGGAGUAGUGGGGACGCGACCGCUAUGUGGAAGACGACGGCGAACUGUAUAAGGGAUGUGGCAAGAGAGGUAUUAGGGGUCUCGAGAAGUUACUCUGGCGGGCACAAAUGUGACUUGUGGUGGAAUGAAGUGGUCCAAGGUAAAGUGGAAGCGAAAAAGGUUGCGUACCUGAAAUUAGUAGGGAGAACAUGCGAGGAGGAGAGGAGAGAAAACAGAGAGAGGUAUAAGGUAGCUAGGAAGGAGGCAAAGUUGGCAGUCACAGAGGCUAAGACUGUAGCGUUUGGUUGUCUGUACGAGGAAUUAGGGGACAAAGGCGAGGAUAAUAAGUUAUUUCGACUGGCCAAGGCGAGAGAGAAGAAUGCUCGGGAUCUGGACCAAGUGAGGUGCAUCAGAGAUGAGGAAGGUAGAGUAUUGAUAGGAGAGGCACAAAUUAAGCGGAGAUGGAAGACUUACUUUCAUAAACUUCUGAAUGAAGAAGAGGACAGGGAUAUUGUGCUAGGUGAAUUGGGGCAUUCAGAGAGUCACCGAAAGUUUGGUUACUGUAGACGCAUCAAGGUUGAGGAGGUAGUGGGGGUUAUAUGUAAGAUGAGUAGGGGCAGAGUAACCGUGCCAGAUGAAAUUACGGUAGAACUUUGGAAGUGUGUGGGUAGAUCAGGCUUGGAGUGGAUGACUAGGCUGUUUAAUAUUAUUUUCAGGGCGAAGAGGAUGUCGGAUGAGUGGAGAUGGAGUAUGGUGGUACCAUUGUACAAGAACAAAGGUGAUAUCCAGAGUUGCAAUAACUAGAGGGGUAUCAAGUUACUAAGUCAUACUAUGAAUAUUUAGGAGAGGGUAGUGAAAGUGAGGGUGAGAAGGACUGUGUCUAUAUCCGAUAACCAGUUCGAGUUCAUGCCCGUCCAUUCAACUAUGAAAGCUAUCCACCUUAUUAGGAGGUUGGUGGAACAAUACAGGGAUAUGAAGAAGAAUUUGCACAUGGUGUUUAUUGACCUGGAGAAAGCGUAUGACAAGGUGACUAGGGAGGUCCUUUGGAGAUUCCUGGAGUCAAAAGGUGUGCCGGUCUUUUACAUCAGGGCGAUUAAGGACAUGCAUUAUGGAGCUAAGACUCGGGUUAGGACAGUGUGAGGCGAUUCUUAGCAUUUUUCGGUUGUUAUGGGAUUGCACCAAGUAUCUGCACUCAACCCGUUCUUAUUUUCCCUAGUGAUGGAUGCACUGCCACACCAUAUAGGGGUGGCGUGGAUAAAAUAGAGGUUAACAUCUGGAGUUUUGUCGGGCAAGAAAGUGUCACUGAUGCUCAAAGGUAAGUUUUAUAGAGCGGUGGUUAGACCGGCCAUGUUGUAUGGGGUAGAGUGUUAGCCAGUUAAGAACUCACAUAUCCAGAAGGUGGAAGUAGCAGAAAUAAGGAUGUUGAGGUGGAUGUGCGGGCACACUAGGAUAGAUAAGAUUAAGAAUGAAGAUAUUCAGUAGAAGGUAGGCAUGACUCUUAUGGAUGAUAAGAUGCAAGAAGCAAGGCUCAGAUUGUUCGGGAACGUGCGGAGGAGAAGCCUAGAAGCUCCGGUAAGGAUGUGUGAGAAAUUGGCUUUUGGGUGGUACGAGAAUAGGUAGACGGCGACCUAAGAAGUAUUAGGGAGAGGUGAUCAGGCAGGACAUGGCGUGGCUUCAAAUUUUUAAGGACAUGGCCCUUGAUAGGAAGGUGUGCAGGUCGAGCAUUAGGGUUGUAGGUUAGGAGGUAGUUGAGCAUUUUUUUACAUCGUUCCGGGUGAGAGACUAGUCUGAUAGGGUUUUGUCUUAGACUGCUAGUGGUUAAUAUUGUGUUCAUAUUAUUCUUUCGUUUUUCAUAGUAUCGAGCCUUACCUACUUGUUAUUGUUAUUGCUUUUCAUCUGUUUUCUGGUCCUUAUGUUGCUGUUAUUAUUUCUGUGAUUUCUGUUGAUGGUACUGAUUAAUUGUCUUUGUUCGUCUUUCUGAGCCGAGGGUCUUUUGAAAAUAAUCUCUCUACUCCCUCAGGGUAGGGGUAAGGUGUGUGUACUCACUAGCCUCCCCAGACCCCACUUGUUGGAAUUACACUCGGUUGUUGUUGUUGUUGUUGUUGUUGUUGUUUCUUCUUACAAGUAUAAACAAUGCAAUGGAAUUAAAGUUAUUCCAAGAUACGAAAUCAACUACAAUAUCUUAUUUUCAAAUAAUUAAAAGAAAUCAUUUUUUUUAAAUGAUAUAAAACUAUCUAUUUUGCCUCAAAAAGUAAAUAAUCAAUAAACUUUAAGUACUAUAAUUUAAAAUAUUAUUUCAUGAUAAAUAAAUACAAAAUUUCUUUCAAAUAUCAAAGUAAUAAAAGUCUAAUAAUAGACGUAUAAACUAAGACAUUAAAAAUAAUAACAAGUGAAUAUAUAAAUUUCAUUUAUCUAUUUUCAAAAGAAAUACUCAAAUAAUAUGUGGCAUCAUGAUGUUCUCAAAUAUUAAAUUUCCAAAUACAUUGGCUGAUUAUUUGAGUUAAUCUCAAUCAUCAUAUAUGAGAAUGCAGUGUUAAUUAAAAAAUUCGACACAUGAUUUGCGUAAGAACGGUUAGGUGAGCCCCAAGCGUUGAGAUUUAGGCAUAUUUAGAAGGCACAAUCGGGCGCUUGGGGCAUAAGACUCACAAGUGAGACUUAGGGAGUUUUGUAGUGUCCCACUCAAGGGCGAGCCCUGAGCGAGUCGUAAAAAAGCCUUUUAAAACACUACUCAUAUAUGAGAAUUAUUUUAAACCCCGAGUUAUACUCAUAUAUUUAAGAUAAAAUUAUUUUACUAGCGCUUAUUUCGUAAUUUUAGUUGUUUAUUUUAACCUUGACUUCUUGACCUCAAACAAUAAUCGCUUUUCUAAAAAUUAAGCAACAACAAGCAAAAGGGAAUGCCAAAGGAAAAAUAAAGCAUUAGAAAAGGAGGACAUUAAGGAUCACACCACACAUAUUUGUAUUCACCUCCAAAGAAAUGGUAUUUCCCCCAUUUCACCCUACUCACCAUCACCACCGUAAUUGUUUUUCCAUUUUUGCUUUUCUUCCUCGGUGAUUUAGUACAUGUAGUAAGCAAAGAAGGACAAGAGUGUGGCUCCAAUCAAAGUUCCCACAGCGGGCAAAGCGACAGCAGCAUCGCUGGUCGGCGACGGAGCCGGGGCGUCACUUGGGCUCAUUUGAGCCAUGGCAGCGCUCAUGGAGGCUGCGGCAACUAGGGCGGCACAAGUGAUCUUCUUCAUCUCCGUAUCUAUCAGACGAGUUGAAAUAUAGGCAGGCGAAAAUUAACGUCUCAAAGGAAAGUUGAGAUGUAAUAGCCGAAUUUUCCUUUCCUGCCUU
rnacentral:lncRNA from 1 species